rnacentral:rRNA from 1 species
CGGACGGGUGAGUAACGCGUGAGAAUCUAGCUUCAGGUCGGGGACAACCACGGGAAACUGUGGCUAAUACCGGAUAUGCCGAGAGGUGAAAGGCUUGCUGCCUGAAGAUGAGCUCGCGUCUGAUUAGCUAGUAGGUGUGGUAAAAGCGCACCUAGGCGACGAUCAGUAGCUGGUCUGAGAGGAUGAUCAGCCACACUGGGACUGAGACACGGCCCAGACUCCUACGGGAGGCAGCAGUGGGGAAUUUUCCGCAAUGGGCGAAAGCCUGACGGAGCAAUACCGCGUGAGGGAGGAAGGCUCUUGGGUUGUAAACCUCUUUUCUCAGGGAAGAAAAAAAUGACGGUACCUGAGGAAUAAGCAUCGGCUAACUCCGUGCCAGCAGCCGCGGUAAUACGGAGGAUGCAAGCGUUAUCCGGAAUGAUUGGGCGUAAAGGGUCCGCAGGUGGCCGUGUAAGUCUGCUGUUAAAGAAUCUAGCUCAACUAGAUAAAAGCAGUGGAAACUACACAGCUAGAGUGCGUUCGGGGUAGAGGGAAUUCCUGGUGUAGCGGUGAAAUGCGUAGAUAUCAGGAAGAACACCAGUGGCGAAGGCGCUCUACUAGGCCGCAACUGACACUGAGGGACGAAAGCUAGGGGAGCGAAUGGGAUUAGAUACCCCAGUAGUC